rnacentral:rRNA from 1 species
GAUGAACGCUGGCGGCGUGCCUAAUACAUGCAAGUCGAGCGAACAGAUGAGGAGCUUGCUCCUCUGACGUUAGCGGCGGACGGGUGAGUAACACGUGGAUAACCUACCUAUAAGACUGGGAUAACUUCGGGAAACCGGAGCUAAUACCGGAUAAUAUAUUGAACCGCAUGGUUCAAUAGUGAAAGACGGUUUUGCUGUCACUUAUAGAUGGAUCCGCGCCGCAUUAGCUAGUUGGUAAGGUAACGGCUUACCAAGGCAACGAUGCGUAGCCGACCUGAGAGGGUGAUCGGCCACACUGGAACUGAGACACGUUCCAGACUCCUACGGGAGGCAGCAGUAGGGAAUCUUCCGCAAUGGGCGAAAGCCUGACGGAGCAACGCCGCGUGAGUGAUGAAGGUCUUCGGAUCGUAAAACUCUGUUAUUAGGGAAGAACAAAUGUGUAAGUAACUAUGCACGUCUUGACGGUACCUAAUCAGAAAGCCACGGCUAACUACGU